GAUGAACGCUGGCGGCGUGCUUAACACAUGCAAGUCGAACGAAGCACUUUAUUUGAUUUCCUUCGGGACUGAUUAUUUUGUGACUGAGUGGCGGACGGGUGAGUAACGCGUGGGUAACCUGCCUUGUACAGGGGGAUAACAGUUGGAAACGGCUGCUAAUACCGCAUAAGCGCACGGCAUCGCAUGAUGCAGUGUGAAAAACUCCGGUGGUAUAAGAUGGACCCGCGUUGGAUUAGCUAGUUGGUGAGGUAACGGCCUACCAAGGCGACGAUCCAUAGCCGACCUGAGAGGGUGACCGGCCACAUUGGGACUGAGACACGGCCCAAACUCCUACGGGAGGCAGCAGUGGGGAAUAUUGCACAAUGGGCGAAAGCCUGAUGCAGCGACGCCGCGUGAGCGAAGAAGUAUUUCGGUAUGUAAAGCUCUAUCAGCAGGGAAGAUAAUGACGGUACCUGACUAAGAAGCACCGGCUAAAUACGUGCCAGCAGCCGCGGUAAUACGUAUGGUGCAAGCGUUAUCCGGAUUUACUGGGUGUAAAGGGAGCGCAGGCGGUGCGGCAAGUCUGAUGUGAAAGCCCGGGGCUCAACCCCGGUACUGCAUUGGAAACUGUCGUACUAGAGUGUCGGAGGGGUAAGCGGAAUUCCUAGUGUAGCGGUGAAAUGCGUAGAUAUUAGGAGGAACACCAGUGGCGAAGGCGGCUUACUGGACGAUAACUGACGCUGAGGCUCGAAAGCGUGGGGAGCAAACAGGAUUAGAUACCCUGGUAGUCCACGCCGUAAACG
rnacentral:rRNA from 1 species